UUAUUUUCAAAAUUAAAGUAAAUCAUAUUAUAUUAGCAAAGCGUAGAAGUGUGAGAGUACGCCAGCACUUUCUUAUGGGCUUAGAACUCAGGUUUGCUGGUUGUGUCUGCUGUACGGGUCCCUAGUUCUCGCGGCAUUUUGUGAGGUGGGCGUGGCCUUGCGCCCGGUUAGCCGGCGGGACGAGUGAAGCCCGAGUCCCGCGUCGGAGCGUGAGGCCUGACGCGACUCCUUCUCCUGGGUUCCCGCCUGACACGGGCUUCUCCCUCUGGACAACGCUACCCGGCAACUUGAAGCCUAUAAAUAACGGAGACAAUGGAGGAAAAAUCCAUCGAACAAGAGGUCUGAAAUGUUGAAAACACACUGGAACUGAAAAUCCCAACAGUGCUGGUAUAAAAAGAGUUCCUUUCCAUUGGAAACCUCCUCUCGUUCAGGAAGGGUCGCCGUAAGUGGCUCGUGGAGCUGUGGCAGCGACUGAACGUCCCGUGGUUUAGCCCAGUGCCUUACCGGACAGAAUUAAGUUAAACUGGGGGAGUGAGGAAGGCUCCUGCGCGGGAUGGGUUCUGAAGGAUGGGGAAAGACCAGAUGAGCUUUUCCACAAUCUGUGUUUCAAAUAAUAUCCAUCAUUCGUAUACCGGCACAGAGUGAUCCUGUUGGUGGCCUUUGACCUUCAGUGGGAUUUGUAGUAAAGGGCGGCGGUCGGAAGGCCCGAGAUUCGGCCCCAGCACCUACCUCCACCUGCCUCCUUGAGUCACCGUCUCUAAGCCCCUGUGUUCAGCAACCGAAUGAAAAUGCUACAGUCAACUUUGCCACGCUCAUAGGCCUCUUGAGAGCAUCAAAUGAGACACUGCAUGUAAAAAUAAGGUCUCAAUUUAAAUGCCAUGUCUUCAGGGAGCUCCCCAUUUUAUAUUCCCUUCUAUUAUCCUGUAAGUUCCUUCAGAGUACUUACCACGACGUGUAAUUUACAAAUACAAAUAUGUGUGUAACGUACCUUACUUUCUAGACUAAUCAAAAGCUCUCUGCUUCUUUUAUUCAACACCUAGCACGAUAUUUCGCGGUGUUGUCCUUAACAUUCAAUUUAAAAUACAUGUAUUUGAAUAAAUAUUGUGUAAAUUUGACUUAAAUGAACAGCCUAGAAGCAAGGAUGAGAUUCCAUAAGACUUUAUCAUUUCGUGCCAAGCCACUCAACCUCCUCUCUCUCUACCGCCACUUACCACCCAUUUAAAUUCUGACUGGUCGUGUGGUACUCCUACAUAUGAAAAAUCAUUAUUUAAUUGGAUGACUCAUUAUGACUCCAUCGGGAUUCUAACUUCUACAAGAUUUUCAAGGGCGAGUCACCUUUCCUACAGCAGCCUUAGAUGUCCUUCCCAGAGUUCCAGGAAUGAGUGUUCUUCAAAAUCACAGGUCACAUGUUCAACUGAAUUGUCAUCAUCAUGCAUGUCCUACAUCAGCAAGAUUGAUGGAUGACUAAGGUUUUCUUCUUGGCCACGGUAGAUUUUAAAUGAAAAAAAAAAAUGAAAGAUUCUAGGUAAGGAAGGGGGAAAGAAAGGAAACUAAUGUUUAUUGGGUGUAUAUUAUGUGCCAGAAUCUGUACAAAUACAUAUUCUCAUUCAGCCCUCACAACAACCCUGUGAGAGAUUUUGGCAGCUGUUAUACCUGAAAAGACUGAAAUACUCAUGUCACUCAGCUCUUCAAAGGACGCUGUAGCUGUAGGAGAGGCUCUCCACACUGAUGCCUGCCACAGCUGCAUACAGUUCAGGCACCACCAACUCUGAUGCUGUAGAAUGCUGUUAGGAGGCACUUCAGGAUACGGUGGCGCCCCUGUUGGCACGGAGAGAGUAAGAGUUGCAAGAGAACUUUACAUCCUCUAGAAUAUGAACUAUAAAUCUGAAGACAACAUUUUUAUGUUUAUGCAAGAUCGCUCUUGGAAUUAUCCUUUAUCCUUUGGAUUUUAAUACAUCCUCGGAAUUGGUAAAGUGUUGAGGAAAAGAGAAAAAGAGAAUGGAAGCAAAAGAAAAUUAAAAGGAGAAAGAUUUCAUAUCAGACCAGUUCAAACCUCAGAGACUGUACUGAAACCCCUUCUCACAGCAUAUGUCAUCCAUCACUCAAACAUACUUGCAUACAGGUACAUACCUAGAGUCACCAUCUCAUAAAGCAGGAUCCCAAAGGACCAGCUAUAAAAGAAACAAAGUUGUUUAAUUUCCAUUUCUUCCUUUCUGAAAGAGAUCUCACUUAAAUAUCGGAGGCUUUCAGGAAGAGCUCUAUAAAGAAGGCAACGAAGGGGAGCAGAGGGUGUCUGGUAAAAUAAACCCAGUAAUAGUGCCAUUAGAAAGCAUUUCUGGCCUCGCUGCUUGUGGCUCAGUGGUUGAGCGUCAACCAUGAACGUGGAG